rnacentral:rRNA from 1 species
GACGAACGCUGGCGGCGUGCUUAACACAUGCAAGUCGAACGGAAAGGCUCCAGCUUGCUGGAGUACUCGAGUGGCGAACGGGUGAGUAACACGUGGGUAAUCUGCCCUGCACUCUGGGAUAAGCCUGGGAAACUGGGUCUAAUACUGGAUAUGACCUUUCUCCUUAUGGGGUUUGGUGGAAAGUUUUGCGGUGUAGGAUGAGCCCGCGGCCUAUCAGCUUGUUGGUGGGGUGAUGGCCUACCAAGGCGACGACGGGUAGCCGGCCUGAGAGGGUGAUCGGCCACAUUGGGACUGAGAUACCGCCCAGACUCCUACGGGAGGCAACAGUGGGGAAUAUUGCACAAUGGGCGGAAGCCUGAUGCAGCGACGCCGCGUGAGGGAUGACGGCCUUCGGGUUGUAAACCUCUUUCAGCAGGGACGAAGCGUAAGUGACGGUACCUGCAGAAGAAGCACCGGCUAACUAUGUG